rnacentral:rRNA from 1 species
UAGGUUAACGAGGCGAACCGGGGGAACUGAAACAUCUAAGUACCCCGAGGAAAAGAAAUCAACCGAGAUUCCCCCAGUAGCGGCGAGCGAACGGGGAGCAGCCCAGAGUCUGAAUCAGCUUGUGUGUUAGUGGAACGGUCUGGAAAGUCCGACGGUACAGGGUGAUAGUCCCGUACACCAAAAUGCACAGGUUGUGAACUCGAAGAGUAGGGCGGGACACGUGGUAUCCUGUCUGAAUAUGGGGGGACCAUCCUCCAAGGCUAAAUACUCCUGACUGACCGAUAGUGAACCAGUACCGUGAGGGAAAGGCGAAAAGAACCCCGGCGAGGGGAGUGAAAAAGAACCUGAAACCGUGU